UACGAAGGCCCCGAGCGUUAAUCGAAAUUAUUGGGCGUAAAGGGUCCGCAGGCGGGAUAGUAAGUCGGCUGUAAAAUCCUGUGGCUUAACCACAUGGUCCGCAGUUGAUACUACUAUUCUUGAGGAACGGAGAGGUGAGUGGAACUCCUGGUGGAGCGGUGAAAUGCGUUGAUAUCAGGGGGAACACCAAUUGCGAAAGCAGCUCACUGGCCGUUUCCUGACGCUCAGGGACGAAAGCGUGGGUAGCGAAUGGG
rnacentral:misc_RNA from 1 species